rnacentral:rRNA from 1 species
AUUGAACGCUGGCGGCAUGCUUUACACAUGCAAGUCGAACGGCAGCGCGGGCUUCGGCCUGGCGGCGAGUGGCGAACGGGUGAGUAAUGCAUCGGAACGUGCCCAGUAGUGGGGGAUAGCCCGGCGAAAGCCGGAUUAAUACCGCAUACGACCUGAGGGUGAAAGCGGGGGACCGAAAGGCCUCGCGCUAUUGGAGCGGCCGAUGUCGGAUUAGCUAGUUGGUGGGGUAAAGGCUUACCAAGGCGACGAUCCGUAGCUGGUCUGAGAGGACGACCAGCCACACUGGGACUGAGACACGGCCCAGACUCCUACGGGAGGCAGCAGUGGGGAAUUUUGGACAAUGGGGGCAACCCUGAUCCAGCCAUGCCGCGUGCGGGAAGAAGGCCUUCGGGUUGUAAACCGCUUUUGUUCGGGAAGAAAUCCUCUGGGCUAAUACCCCGGGGGGAUGACGGUAACGGAAGAAUAAGCACCGGCUAACUACGUG